CCUACGGGAGGCAGCAGUGAGGAAUAUUCGUCAAUGGGCGCGAGCCUGAACCAGCCAAGUAGCGUGAAGGAUGACUGCCCUCCGGGUUGUAAACUUCGUUUAUAAAGGAGUAAAGUGAGGCACGUGUGCCUUUUUGUAUGUACUUUAUGAAUACGGAUCGGCUAACUCCGUGCCAGCAGCCGCGGUAAUACGGAGGAUCCGAGCGUUGUCCGGAUUGAUUGGGUGUAAGGGGAGCGUAGAUGGGUUGUUAAGUCAGUUGUGAAAGUUUGCGGCUCAACCGUAAAAUUGCAAUGGAUACUGGCAGUCUUGAGUACAGUUGAGGUAGGCGGAAUUCGUGGUGUAGCGGUGAAAUGCUUAGAUAUCACGAAGAACUCCGAUUGCGAAGGCAGCUUACUAAACUGCAACUGACAUUGAUGCUCGAAAGUGUGGGUAGCAAACAGGAUUAGAUACCCUGGUAGUC
rnacentral:rRNA from 1 species